rnacentral:rRNA from 1 species
UGGGGGAUAUUGCACAAUGGGGGAAACCCUGAUGCAGCGACGCCGCGUGGAGGAAGAAGGUUUUCGGAUUGUAAACUCCUGUCGUUAGGGACGAUAAUGACGGUACCUGGAGAAAAAGCAACGGCUAACUACGUGCCAGCAGCCGCGGUAAUACGUAGGUUGCAAGCGUUGUCCGGAUUUACUGGGUGUAAAGGGCGUGUAGGCGGAGAUGCAAGUUGGGAGUGAAAUCCAUGGGCUCAACCCAUGAACUGCUUUCAAAACUGUUUUUCUUGAGUAGUGCAGAGGUAGGCGGAAUUCCCGGUGUAGCGGUGGAAUGCGUAGAUAUCGGGAGGAACACCAGUGGCGAAGGCGGCCUACUGGGCACCAACUGACGCUGAGGCUCGAAAGUGUGGGUAGCAAACAGGAUUAGAUACCCUGGUAGUCCACACUGUAAACGAUGAUUACUAGGUGUUGGAGGAUUGACCCCUUCAGUGCCGCAGUUAACACAAUAAGUAAUCCACCUGGGGAGUACGACCGCAAGGUUGAAACUCAAAGGAAUUGACGGGGGCCCGCACAAGCAGUGGAGUAUGUGGUUUAAUUCGACGCAACGCGAAGAACCUUACCAAGUCUUGACAUCCUGCGACGGUGCUGGAAACAGAACUUUCCUUCGGGACGCAGAGACAGGUGGUGCAUGGUUGUCGUCAGCUCGUGUCGUGAGAUGUUGGGUUAAGUCCCGCAACGAGCGCAACCCUUAUGGUCAGUUACUACGCAAGAGGACUCUGGCCAGACUGCCGUUGACAAAACGGAGGAAGGUGGGGAUGACGUCAAAUCAUCAUGCCCUUUAUGACUUGGGCUACACACGUACUACAAUGGCGUUAAACAAAGAGAAGCAAGACCGCGAGGUGGAGCAAAACUCAGAAACAACGUCCCAGUUCGGACUGCAGGCUGCAACUCGCCUGCACGAAGUCGGAAUUGCUAGUAAUCGCAGAUCAGCAUGCUGCGGUGAAUACGUUCCC